AAACCGCUCCCACACCCCGACCGCUCUGUCUGUUUGCUCAGGUGCCAAAGUAUGUUAAACCAACCACGUCUUUUUAAAGCCGUUACAGUGAUUGUCUGCUGCAAACAACUAGUUCGGAAAAUAUAGCGUGUCCAUAAUUAAAGCUGUGUGAUGAGCCGAACCAUUCGCCCUGUUUUGAGAUCUGGCACUCUGAAGGUCUCACUCAGCUGUUGAUUUUCGUCUAUGAUGCCACUCCAAGGAAACAAAUGGAUCAUCCUGAGAAACAAAGAUACCAUCCAAUGAUACACCUCAUCAGAAACAACUAACAGGAAAAAGUAUUGAUCUUUGGAAACUUCAGCUACAGAUGCACCUUGUCAGAAACAACUAAAAGGAAAAAGUAUUGAACUUUGGAAACUUCAGCAUGUAUAAUCAGUAUUUCAUGAUUUUGAAAAUAUGGCAGAGUGCCUCAGGAUUUUUAACAAAAUACAUACAAAAUUAAGGACGAUUACUGUAAAUAUGUAAACAGCAAAAUUUUGUGCAUUAUCUAUAGAAAUAUUAGUCAUGCUCAUGAAAAGUAGGCAGCAAAAAAAAAAAAUCACAAAACUGGAAAACAAUGUAUUAUUGAAAG